GGUCCCGUAGCUCAGUUGGUUAGAGCGUCGUACUAAUAUCUCCUGUUAAGGAAACAUUAAGUAAUAAAUGCGAAGGUCGCGGGUUCGACCCCCUCCGGGACCA